CUCUAAUUCUCUCAAUCUCUCUAAAUCAAGAAUUCUAAGAAUUCUAAAAGGACACUAAAUGUUCCAACCAUUCUUCUCUCAACCUCUCUACUUCUCUCAACUUUUCCAAGCAAGGAAGAGAACUCUAAGAGUUCUAAAAGAAAACACUAAGUGUUUUAAAGGAAGCUUUGAAGCUCCAACCUCUAACUCUUCACGGAAUCACAAAAAAAAAACAACUUUGCAAAACUGUGAUUACACUUGCCCCUUUUGCUUUAAACACACUUUGAGUGCAACAUGUUUUACUUGUUAAAAUGCACGAUUCACACAAAUAUGCUUUAUUCAUUCAAUCCGUUAUACAUGCUUUGUUAUGCUUAGGUUCACGCUAGAAUUCAUACUACUUAUUAACCCGCCUUAACAAUUAUAGGGCUAUAGCAGUAGCACACCACCCGACGGGAUUUUUGUUAAGUUAUAUUCAUACUUAUUCUCGUCACUUUUGUGGCGAGGGGCACAUAUUAUUCAUACUUAGUCUCGUCACUUUUGUGGCGAGGGACACUUAUAAUUCUUGUGGACACUUGGGUUUGACUUUUAGUUAUGCAUGAUAGUUUGACCUUGUAUACCAAAUUGCUAUGUUGGAUUGAAAAUACUUUUUAUACUUAUGUCACGUGUCUAAAACUAGUGUACUCGCCAAUCACUACAAAAAAAAGCCAUCUAGUGGCACACAUUUUUAAUGGCAUUUAGGUUUUUUGCCACUAAUUUUUGUUUUUAAUGGCACUUUAGGUAUUUAACACAUACAUUUAGUGGCAUUUAACUUUUAUGUCACUAAUCAAGGCUUUUAGUGGCAUUUUGCAUAUGCCACCAAAAUUUUCUAUAUGUUUUAAUGGCACUUUGCCUGUGCCACAAAAUUUUUUGAACAACUCGUUUAAAAUUUUCACUAUUCUCUCUUUGAAACCUAAAAGUUUCCCUAGAAAUUUCUUCUUCUCUUUCACCAAAAAUCAAUUUCCCUCCCCAAAUCAUUUCAUAUUCCUGGUCAUUCCCCUAACCCCUCAUUAAUUUCCCUCUCAUUCUCACAAAAAAACCAAUUUUCCCCACUCUAAUUUUUAUCUCUCUAAAAUCUCGUCCAUUGCAUUCACUCUGUUUGAAUACGACCAGUUCACGACUGCACCGACCAAAAUUGAUUGUGCUCCUGUUUAAAUCCUGACGUCAAUUUGGUAGGUAUUCAAUCACAAAUCUUUAAUUUUAAUUAAUGCGCUCCUUGUUUUCUUUCUAAUUGUUGAUGGAUUUGUGUGCAAUUUCUGUUUUGAGGUGCCCUGGCUACAAGAAAUAAGAGCUUUAGGGGCGACAUAAAAAAAGUCGCCCCUAAGACUAUGGGGUAUGGGGCGUGGGUUGGGUACAAACGCCUAAGUCACCACCCCGGGUGAGUUUAGGUUUCAGUGUGGCCCGUUUGGCGUGGGAUUCAGCUCGGGCGUUGGGUGGGGCUACCCACAUGACAUGGCGGAACCUCAUUGGCCAAGAGCACUAGCCAUGGCGGAACCUCAUUGUGAUGUGGCUUGGCUACGCCACCCCAGCCACGCCCCAUCAUACCCCUUUGAAAUUGGCUUUUGGUCUUGGGUGUCCCAUAUUCCACGUGUCGCACCAUGCCUCCAACCCACACACCACUAUACCCUACGGUGUAAAAGUCUAAUCCGUGUUUUAAUAUCACACAUGAGAUUCUGGCCAUUGAUAAAAAAACGAUCAGACGGUUUAUCUUCUUUCUUUAUUUGUGGCCAUAAAACGGCAUGGGAGGCCUUUUUGCCCCAUCCGACCUCUCUUUCCCCCCAAAUUGCACAACCUGAGAGGGGCAACGACCACCACCGCUGCUGCGUUUGAGACGACAACCACCACGUGAGACGACCACCACCGCCGGAGCACUAGGCCCCCACCACCUGAGAUCCCCAAAUCACCAGUGUAUCUCACCGUUCCAUAUUUAUUUCAAAAGUUAGGGGUUGUGUUCUUAUUUUGUCAUAACCGAUUGCAAUUCCACUAUCAUCUACCUUCAACAAGUUGCAGAAACUGAUAGGAAAGUCUCUGUAGAGGCUGCGCUGGUGAAGCUCAAGAUGGUGACAGCGGACCUUCGUUGUCACGGCAGUAGACAGAAGCAUUUUUUAGAAGCACCACCAAGGCCAUAAUUUGUGCUGUUGAUUUGUGUGAGUAGCGAAUUGCAGAGUUAAUAGUCAACAGAGCAGUUGUGCUUAAUAGGAAAUUAUGGCGGAUGUCAUGCCAAGAAGAUAUGGAGGCGAUGGUGCUGGAGAUCCACCACCUCCUGGCGGUUUUUGGCGAGGCUAGCAUGAAGAGGACCGUUGAAUAUAGUGAAUUGGCUGAUGCGGCGACAAUAAGGAGUAAGUGCAAGGAACAGCUAUGAAGUGCGAAAUACGAUCGCUAAGAAAGAGUUAACACAAUGAAUAUUUUACUCGCAUGAAGAUUCUGAAAGAGAUUCAUGAACGCAAUGGAGUUUUGAGUUUUUGUUCAAACCUUUUUUAAAUGUUUGUUUUGUAAGAAGAUUGAUUUAGGUCGACACUUAUUAGUUAUUUCUUUGCAAACAUUUGGAAUCUUUGUAAUAUGAUUGAUUGAACUUUUUAAUUGAAUUGAUUAUAUUAUUAUGA